GAAGACUUGUUUCAGAAAAGAAAUCAGAAAAAUGAGGCCCAGAAAGAAGGGGACUGACCACUGAUCUCACAGCAGUGACGAUCGCAGUGCCCGGCAUCCACGUGAAACCCGGUGCCAGGGUUUCCGUCUUGCUACGGCAAGAGGCUGGAAGCUUAGUGGUCAAGGGUGAAAAUUUGGAAGUCAGACUCCCUGGCAAAUAUCUCAACAGCUCUGUGCCUCAGCUUCCACGUCUUCAGAAAGGAGAAGGUGGCUGUAAGCUCACGGGGCCGCUCUGAGGAUCACAGAAGCCAACCCAGGGUGCCAUCUGUAACCAAGGGCACACUUGCACGUUACACUGAGUCGGCAGCAGGACACCAGCCAGCCAGGCCUGGUCUCCACAGACUGAGAAGUUAAGUUAGAAGAUUUCCCGGGAGGAGAAAGUCUUCUAAUGUACAUAUUUUUGAAGUGGAUUACGCAAUUCUCUGUGCCUAUGAAAUUACAAUGGAAAACUUUGGGCUGAAGCGCUCUACCUAAAUUAUUUAAUCCUCACAAUAACUACCAGGUAGGUAUUAUCCCCACUUUAUAGAUGAGAAAUCAGAGGCAAGCUCACAUAGCUGUCAGACUCCAAGCCUUCCUCCUUGUGCCUCCUUCACUGAAAUUUAAUUGGAUUAAUUAAAUGAAUCAAACCAAACGAAACACAUCAGUACUUGGCACAAGGUAAGUGCACAACAAACAGCUGUUCUUAUCACUCUUAUUACAAAUAAGAAACUGAAAACUUCUGUUUCCUUAAUAAAUUCUACAAGAACCUUAGGCAGCAGACCUUGAUGAAUUCUUUUAGAAAUGUGUUAGGGUUUGCUUUUCUCUGGUUAUAGAACCAUCUCCAAAUGGUGUUGGGAAUGGAGGUCCCCAACAAGAUGCGCCAAGACACACUUUACAAUGUCCUCUCAUGUAGAGAUUUGCUCCCACACUUUUUUGGUUCCUUCCUUUUCCCUGUUAGAAUGUUAUCAAAAGCAAGCUGUUCAGCUCUCAGCUGGGUGCUUUGAAGUCCAGGAGUCUAGAAUGGAAUGGAAUGUGGGUUGUUGUUUUUACUUUUGUUUUCAUGACAUGGAUAA